AGGACAGUACUCUUCUUUCACCUUACUUCAAGAGUUCUAACUCUUAGAACUCGAUCAGUCUCCAACUGAUCAGAUCUUCCUCCAGACAUGAGUUUGGAUCUCUCAGAACCUCUUUCUAGUCUUAACCUUCUUCUUUAGGACCUCUUAAACCCUUUAUCCGAUUAGGAAUAGGCUUAUCUUAAAAGAACAAACCUUGUCUAAAAGA
rnacentral:lncRNA from 1 species